CACCGCGGUUAUACGAGAGGCCCAAGCUGAUAGUCACCGGCGUAAAGAGUGGUUAAGAUUAACCUAGUACUAGAGCCGAAAGCCCUCACAGCUGUUAUACGCACUCGAGGGUAAGAAGCCCAACUACGAAAGUGGCUCUAUAAAAUCUGAACCCACGAAAGCUAGGGCACAAACUGGGAUUAGAGACCCCACUAUGCCCAGCCAUAAACAUUGACAGUAAACUACAUAUGCCGUCCGCCCGGGGAUUACGAGCGCUAGCUUAAAACCCAAAGGACUUGGCGGUGCUUUAGACCCACCUAGAGGAGCCUGUUCUAGAACCGAUGAUCCCCGUUCAACCUCACCCUUCCUUGUUCAUCCCGCCUAUAUACCACCGUCGUCAGCUUACCCUGUGAAGGCCUAAUAGUAAGCAAGAUUGGCACUGCCCAAAACGCCAGGUCGAGGUGUAGCGUAUGGAGGGGGAAGCAAUGGGCUACAUUCACUAAUUGAUAGUGAACACGAAUAGUGCACUGAAACGUGCUCAUUGAAGGAGGAUUUAGCAGUAAGCAGGAAAUAGAGUGUUCUGCUGAAACCGGCCCUGAAGCGCGCACAUACCGCCCGUCACUCUCCCCAAAUCCGCGAAUCUAAUUGCCUAAUACAUCUACUUAUACAAAGGGGAGGCAAGUCGUAA
rnacentral:rRNA from 1 species